rnacentral:rRNA from 2 species
UGGGGAAUCUUGCGCAAUGGGCGAAAGCCUGACGCAGCAACGCCGCGUGUGUGAUGAAGGUCUUCGGAUCGUAAAGCACUGUCGGGAGGGACGAAUAAGGGGCGGGCUAACAUCCCGUCCCGAUGACGGUACCUCCAAAGGAAGCACCGGCUAACUCUGUGCCAGCAGCCGCGGUAAUACAGAGGGUGCUAGCGUUGUUCGGAAUUAUUGGGCGUAAAGCGCGUGUAGGCGGCCUUGCAAGUUGGGUGUGAAAGCCCUCGGCUUAACCGAGGAAGUGCGCCCAAAACUACAAGGCUUGAGUACCGGAGAGGGUGGCGGAAUUCUCGGUGUAGAGGUGAAAUUCGUAGAUAUCGGGAGGAACACCAGUGGCGAAGGCGGCCACCUGGACGGAUACUGACGCUGAGACGCGAAAGCGUGGGUAGCAAACAGG